rnacentral:rRNA from 1 species
GACAGAGGUGCCAAGCGUUAGGCGGAAUCACUGGGCUUAAAGCGUGUGUAGGCGGAGUGCUAAGUACCUUGUGAAAUCCCACGGCUCAACCGUGGAACUGCUUGGUAUACUGGUUCUCUUGAGCCACCUAGGGGCAACCGGAACAAACGGUGGAGCGGUGAAAUGCGUAGAUAUCGUUUGGAACGCCAAUGGUGAAAACAGGUUGCUGGGGGUGUGCUGACGCUGAGACACGAAAGCCAGGGGAGCAAACGGG